UCCACUUGGCUUCAGCAUCUCCAGGAUUCCCGCCAACCUCCAGCCAUGAAGAUCUUCUGCCUCCUCUCUGUUGCCGUCCUCUUCUUGAUGCUGCUGGCUCCAGAUUUCACCGGAGCUCAACGUCCCACCCAGGAUUGCCAGAACAAUGGAGGCAGCUGCAGAAAAACCUGCAACAAAGGCGAGAAAGAGAUUGGGAAGUGUUCGGGAGACAGGCGUUGCUGCAAGCGCAGCUAAGCAGACCCAUCACACAUAAUCUCUGACAAAAGGAAGACCAC